UCCUAACUUAUAUAAAAUGUAGAGAAGAAGC
rnacentral:piRNA from 1 species